AUUGAACGCUGGCGGCAUGCCUUACACAUGCAAGUCGAACGGCAGCACGGGAGCAAUCCUGGUGGCGAGUGGCGAACGGGUGAGUAAUAUAUCGGAACGUGCCCAGUCGUGGGGGAUAACGCAGCGAAAGUUGUGCUAAUACCGCAUACGAUCUAUGGAUGAAAGCGGGGGAUCGCAAGACCUCGCGCGAUUGGAGCGGCCGAUAUCAGAUUAGGUUGUUGGUGAGGUAAAAGCUCACCAAGCCUGCGAUCUGUAGCUGGUCUGAGAGGACGACCAGCCACACUGGAACUGAGACACGGUCCAGACUCCUACGGGAGGCAGCAGUGGGGAAUUUUGGACAAUGGACGAAAGUCUGAUCCAGCAAUGCCGCGUGCAGGACGAAGGCCUUCGGGUUGUAAACUGCUUUGUACAGAACGAAAAGUCUUUAAUAACACUAGAGGCUCAUGACGGUACUGUAAGAAUAAGCACCGGCUAACUACG
rnacentral:rRNA from 1 species